UCAAGAGCUCCAUGGAACAAACUAGACCCUAUUUUGAUGUCAUUAGAGAAACACACAAGGCUUCUACUGAUCAAGGCUUUUAUAUCUCACAUCUUCCAAAGGACCCAUAUAUUUGAAGGCAGUGACUUAUUGCAAAAAUAUGGGGAAUGAACACUAUUUCCCAGAUUUCCAUGUUCUGUGCAGAUUGCUCAGAUCCAGCAGGAGGAAACUUAAAGAAAAAUAAAAUUUGUAUGAUUAUUAUUAAAAA